GGGGAAUAUUGGACAAUGGGCGAAAGCCUGAUCCAGCAAUGCCGCGUGAGUGAAGAAGGUCUUCGGAUUGUAAAGCUCUUUCACGGGUGAAGAUAAUGACGGUAACCCGAGAAGAAGCCCCGGCUAACUUCGUGCCAGCAGCCGCGGUAAUACGAAGGGGGCUAGCGUUGUUCGGAAUUACUGGGCGUAAAGGGCGCGUAGGCGGUCUGUCAAGUUAGGUGUGAAAGCCCUGGGCUCAACCCAGGAACUGCAUUUAAGACUGGCAGGCUAGAGAUCUAGAGGGGAUAGUGGAAUUCCAAGUGUAGAGGUGAAAUUCGUAGAUAUUUGGAGGAACACCAGUGGCGAAGGCGACUAUCUGGCUAGAAUCUGACGCUGAGGCGCGAUAGCGUGGGGAGCAAAC
rnacentral:rRNA from 1 species